rnacentral:rRNA from 1 species
GACGAACGCUGGCGGCGUGCUUAACACAUGCAAGUCGAACGAAGUGGCGAACGGGUGAGUAACGCGUAAUCAACAUGCCCUUCAGAGGGGGACAACAGUUGGAAACGACUGCUAAUACCGCAUACAGAAGGAGGGGAUUACGUCUGAUUAGCUAGUUGGAGGGGUAACGGCCCACCAAGGCGAUGAUCAGUAUCCGGCUGGAGAGGAUGAACGGCCACAUUGGGACUGAGAAACGGCCCAGAGUCCUACGGGAGGCAGCAGUGGGGAAUCUUCCGCAAUGGACGAAAGUCUGAUGGGGCAACGCCGCGUGAGUGAUGACGGCCUUCGGGUUGUAAAGCUCUGUUAAUCGGGACGCGUUACCGGAAUAGAAAGCCACGGCUAACUACGUGCCAGCAGCCGCGUAAUAC